CCUACGGGGGGCAGCAGUGAGGAAUAUUGGUCAAUGGGCGAGAGCCUGAACCAGCCAAGUAGCGUGAAGGAUGACUGCCCUAUGGGUUGUAAACUUCUUUUAUAUGGGAAUAAAUUGUUGCACGUGUGCACUUUUGUAUGUACUAUAUGAAUAAGGAUCGGCUAACUCCGUGCCAGCAGCCGCGGUAAUACGGAGGAUCCGAGCGUUAUCCGGAUUUAUUGGGUUUAAAGGGAGCGUAGGUGGGUUGUUAAGUCAGUUGUGAAAGUUUGCGGCUCAACCGUAAAAUUGCAAUUGAAACUGGCAGUCUUGAGUACAGUAGAGGUAGGCGGAAUUCGUGGUGUAGCGGUGAAAUGCUUAGAUAUCACGAAGAACUCCGAUUGCGAAGGCAGCUUACUGGACUGCAACUGACACUGAGGCUCGAAAGUGUGGGUAUCAAACAGGAUUAGAUACCCCUGUAGUC
rnacentral:rRNA from 1 species